rnacentral:misc_RNA from 1 species
AAGUCGAUGCCUGGUAUUGACUUGGCAAAGGGCUCAUCAUCCAUGGCAGAGGAUGCCUCCGCACAGCUGAACGAUGCAGUUCAAAGUUCCUCAAACAAAAAUGAUCCAGGAGCGUCACUGGUCGGUCAUCACGAAGCAGGAAGUCAUACAACUCAACAACUGGUGAGGGAGAAGCAGAAAGAGCAUGAAAGAGAAGAUAUUACUAGCUCAUCAAAUUCGCCACCAACGAAACGUGCUAAGGUUGAUGAAUAAAGCUUCUGCAGUUCACAAACCUUUUGGUAGGAUAUUAGAUUGUAUUGGUUACUGGGAACAUUAAACCUUUUGAGUAAACCAGUUUUUAACAUUUUUGGUAUUCCUUCCAU